GACGAACGCUGGCGGCGUGCUUAACACAUGCAAGUCGAACGGAAAGGCCCUGCUUUUGUGGGGUGCUCGAGUGGCGAACGGGUGAGUAACACGUGAGUAACCUGCCCUUGACUUUGGGAUAACUUCAGGAAACUGGGGCUAAUACCGGAUAGGAGCUCCUGCUGCAUGGUGGGGGUUGGAAAGUUUCGGCGGUUGGGGAUGGACUCGCGGCUUAUCAGCUUGUUGGUGGGGUAGUGGCUUACCAAGGCUUUGACGGGUAGCCGGCCUGAGAGGGUGACCGGCCACAUUGGGACUGAGAUACGGCCCAGACUCCUACGGGAGGCAGCAGUGGGGAAUAUUGCACAAUGGGCGGAAGCCUGAUGCAGCAACGCCGCGUGCGGGAUGACGGCCUUCGGGUUGUAAACCACUUUCGCCUGUGACGAAGCGUGGGUGACGGUAAUGGGUAAAGAAGCACCGGCUAACUACGUG
rnacentral:rRNA from 1 species